GAUGAAGAACGUAGCGAAAUGCGAUACGUAAUGUGAAUUGCAGAAUUCAGUGAAUCAUCGAAUCUUUGAACGCAUAUUGCGCUCUCUGGUAUUCCGGAGAGCAUGCUUGUUUGAGUAUCAGUAAACACCUCAACUUCCAUAUCUUUUUUGAAAUGGGAGUUGGACUUGAGUCAUCCCAACGCUUUUCCUCACCGAAAAGUGGCGGGUUACUUGAAAUGCAGGUGCAGCUGGACUUUUCUCUGAGCUAUAAGCAUAUCUAUUUAGUCUGCCUAAAAAACAGAUUAUUACCUUUGCUGCAGCUAACAUAAAGGAGAUUAGUUCUUGUGCUGACUGAUGCAGGAUUCACAAAGACAGGCUUCGGCCGACUUUGUAAACUCGAUCUCAAAUCAAGUAAGACUACCCGCUGAACUUAAGCAUAUCAAUAAGCGGAGGA
rnacentral:misc_RNA from 1 species